UAAGGAGUGAUGGAGAGAAGAUGGAAGGGGCUAAGGAGUGAUGGAGAAAAGAUGGAAGGGGCUAAGGAGUGAUGGAGAAAAGAUGGAAGGGGCUAAGGAGUGAUGGAGAAAAGAUGGAAGGGGCUAAGGAGUGAUGGAGAGAAGAUGGAAGGGGCUAAGGAGUGAUGGAGAGAAGAUGGAAGGGGAUAAGGAGUGAUGGAGAGAAGAUGGAAGGGGCUAAGGAGUGAUGGAAGGGGCUAAGGAGUGAUGGAGAGAAGAUGGAAGGGGCUAAGGAGUGAUGGAGAGAAGAUGGAAGGUGGUAAGGAGUGAUGGAGAGAAGAUGGAAGGGGCUAAGGAGUGAUGGAGAGAAGAUGGAAGGUGGUAAGGAGUGAUGGAGAGAAGAUGGAAGGGGCUAAGGAGUGAUUGAGAGAAUCUGACCAUUUUUUUGUUGUUGUAAUAAUGACAAUUACAACAAUACUGAAUGAACACUUAUAUUAACUUAAUAUAAUACAUCAAUAAAAUCAAUUUAGCCUCAAGUAAAUAAUGAAACAUGUUCAAUUUGGUUUAAAUAAUGCAAAAACAAAGUGUUGGAGAAGAAAGUAAAAGUGCAAUAUGUGCCAUGUAAAAAAGCUAAGGUUUCAGAUCCUUGCUCAGAACAUGAGAACAUAUGAAAGUUGGUGGUUCCUUUUAACAUGAGUCUUCAAUAUUCCCAGGUAAGAAGUUUUAGGUUGUAGUUAUUAUAGGAAUUUUAGGACUAUUUCCCUCUAUACCAUUUGUAUUUCAUUAACCUUUGACUAUUGGAUGUUCUUAUAGCCACUUUAGUAUUGCCAGUGUAACAGUAUAGCUUCCGUCCCUCUCCUCGCUCCUCCCUGGGCUCGAACCAGCAACACAACGACAACAGCCACCAUCGAAGCAGCGUUACCCAUGCGGAGCAAGGGGAACAACCACCCCAAGGCUCAGAGCAAGUGACGUUUGAAACACUAUUAGCGCACGCUAACUAGCUAGCCAUUUCACUUCGGUUACACCAGCCUCAUCUCGGGAGUUGAUAGGCUUGAAGUCAUAAACAGCGCAAUGCUUGACACACAACGAAGAGCUGCUGGCAAAACUCACGAAAGUGCUGUUUGAAUGAAUGUUUACUGCUUCUGCCUACCACCGCUCAGUCAGAUACUUACCGUAAUUACUGGACUAUUAAGCGCACCUGAAUAUAAACCGCACCCACUGAAUUAUUAAAAAAUAUGUAUUUUGUACAUAAAUAAGCCGCACAUGUCUAUAAGCUGCAAGUGCCUACCGGUACAUUGAAACAAAUUAACUUUACACAGCCUUUAAACGAAACACGGCUUGUAACAAAAAUAAAUAGGCUUUAACGAAACAAGGCUUGUAACAAAAAUGAAACAGUAGUCUACCAAGAAAGUCAUUGGUCACUAUCUUCCUCCUCCUGUGCACUGAAACCACUGAAGUCAUCUCCUUCGGUGUCGGAGUUGAAUAGCC
ensembl:lncRNA